rnacentral:rRNA from 1 species
CCUACGGGCGGCAGCAGUGAGGAAUAUUGGUCAAUGGACGAGAGUCUGAACCAGCCAAGUAGCGUGAAGGAUGACUGCCCUAUGGGUUGUAAACUUCUUUUAUAUGGGAAUAAAACGUUCCACGUGUGGGAUUUUGUAUGUACCAUAUGAAUAAGGAUCGGCUAACUCCGUGCCAGCAGCCGCGGUAAUACGGAGGAUCCGAGCGUUAUCCGGAUUUAUUGGGUUUAAAGGGAGCGUAGGUGGAUUGUUAAGUCAGUUGUGAAAGUUUGCGGCUCAACCGUAAAAUUGCAGCUGAAACUGGCAGUCUUGAGUACAGUAGAGGUGGGCGGAAUUCGUGGUGUAGCGGUGAAAUGCUUAGAUAUCACGAAGAACUCCGAUUGCGAAGGCAGUUCACUGGACUGCAACUGACACUGAGGCUCGAAAGUGUGGGUAUCAAACAGGAUUAGAUACCCCAGUAGUC